GUAAGUAUAGUUUAACUUAAAAUAUUAGAUUGUGAUUCUAAAGACAGAGGUUAAAAUCCUCUUACUCACC
rnacentral:tRNA from 1 species